GAUAAACGCUGGCGGCGUGCCUAAUACAUGUAAGUCGAACGGAAGCUUAGCAAUAAGCCUUAGUGGCGAACGGGUGAGUAACACGUUGGUGACCUGCCCCGAAGUGGGGGAUAACAGCUCGAAAGGGCUGCUAAUACCCCAUGUGAACACUCCAGUUAGAGAAGAGUGUUUAAAGGAGCAAUUCGCUUCGGGAGGGACCUGCGUCCCAUCAGCUAGUUGGUAGGGUAACGGCCUACCAAGGCGGCGACGGGUAGGGGGCCUGAGAGGGUGGCCCCCCACACUGGCACUGAAACACGGGCCAGACACCUACGGGUGGCAG
rnacentral:rRNA from 1 species